UCCUUGGUGGCUCAAUUGGUAAAGAAUCUGCCUGCAAUGCAGGAGAAUCAGGUUCGAUCCCUGGGUCAGGAA
rnacentral:tRNA from 1 species